GACGAACCGUGCGAACGUUGUUCGGAUUCAUUGGGCUUAAAGGGCGCGUAGGCGGCCGCUCAAGUCGGGGGUGAAAUCUUUCAGCUCAACUGGAAAAUAGCCUCCGAUACUGGGCGGCUGGAGGGAGAUAGGGGUGCGCGGAACUUCCGGUGGAGCGGUGAAAUGCGUAGAUAUCGGAAGGAACGCCGGUGGCGAAAGCGGCGCACUGGAUCUCCACUGACGCUGAGGCGCGAAAGCCAGGGGAGCAAACGGG
rnacentral:rRNA from 1 species